rnacentral:sRNA from 1 species
GUGUUUUUUUCCUUUGGUUUUCCAUUCAAUUCUCUGAAGUUGAACCCACAACAAUUCCUAUAAUUCCCAUAAAUUUUAUUAGUUUUUCUAUAAAAAAAUAUCUUCAGCUAUGGGUAGCUCUAAGGUAGUAAUAGUCCGCAGCACUGUCGUCUUUCGUCGUGCGCCCAAGAAAGGAUUUCCGGGUGUGAAUAUAGCCAACAUUGUCAAGUUUAUCAAAACCAUAGAUGCACCCAUCAAAAUGAAGUAAAGUAUUUACAGCUGAAAGAAGUCUCAAAAUUCCCAAUAUGUUUAAAUGUUAAAUAAAAUUUCCAUGUGCUAAAAUCGAAAGCUUUGUACCACUGUGGCACUGGAUUGAGGACAGGACGUUGGGCAAACAACUUCAUUCAGUUUCAGUUCACAUUAAUGCAGCGUGAAUUAAGUGUCAAGGACAUUUUUUGGUUUUCGCAACCAGCAGGACGGCACGAUGCAACAUGUUUCCAGUGUCUCUCUGCAUGUCCUUGCCUCCCAGUGUGUGUCCUCUGUGUUUGUGUGUGUGUGUGUUUUGGGUGACCGAAAAUGCGUUGCAACAUUCAAAUGAACGGACAAUCGGACUUUGGACUUCAUCAUCAUCAUCAUCAUGACGAUGAUGGUGGGGUGGGGCGCUCACACUUUCG